rnacentral:rRNA from 1 species
AGUAAUCGUAGGUCAGCAUACUACGGUGAAUACGUUCCCGGGUCUUGUACACACCGCCCGUCACACCAUGGGAGCCGGAAAUGCCCGAAGCCAGUGACCCAACCUUAGGGAGGGAGCUGUCGAAGGUGGAGCCGGUAACUGGGGUGAAGUCGUAACAAGGUAUC